rnacentral:lncRNA from 1 species
UGUUGGUGUUCAUAUUGGAUAGUCUUGUUAUUACAGAUGAUGAUUAUUAGUGUUGACCUAUCUGUUCCCCUAAAAUCUUGUUGCAUCAUCUGGCUGUUACCUUCUCAAGAUUAUAUAUGAGUGUUGUUCUCUUUUUCAAAUUGAUCUUGCUGCUGAUGGGUUCUUGUGCAUCUUUACAUAAGCAAAUAGUCUUGGCCAUGCUGGUUUUCAAAUUACUGGAAACUGGUUGUUUUGUGAUAUUAUCUACUAUUGACACCAAUUUCAUGGUUGGAUCUGUUAAACUUAUGAAGACGCAUAACAAGUUUUCUGGCUCUGUUUUGGUUGAUCUGACGAACACCGGACCAUAUUCCUGAUUCGUAAUCUG